CAGCCGCCACGGGAAUACGAGGGGGGCAAGCGUUGUUCGGAAUUACUGGGCGUAAAGCGUGCGUAGGUGGUGGUUUAAGUCCGUUGUGAAAGCCCUGGGCUCAACCUGGGAAUUGCAGUGGAUACUGGAUCACUAGAGUGUGGUAGAGGAUAGUGGAAUUUCCGGUGUAGCAGUGAAAUGCGUAGAGAUCGGAAGGAACAUCUGUGGCGAAGGCGACUAUCUGGGCCGACACUGACACUGAGAGACGAAAGCUAGGGGAGCAAACAGGAUUAGAUACCCCGGUAGUCCCUGUCUCUUAUAA
rnacentral:rRNA from 1 species